GUAAUACCUUAUACGCCCUUUGGGGGAAAGAUUUAUCGGAGAAGGAUUAGCCCGCGUUAGAUUAGGUAGUUGGUGGGGUAAUGGCCUACCAAGCCUACGAUCUAUAGCUGGUUUGAGAGGAUGAUCAGCCACACUGGGACUGAGACACGGCCCAGACUCCUACGGGAGGCAGCAGUAGGGAAUCUUAGACAAUGGGGGCAACCCUGAUCUAGCCAUGCCGCGUGUGUGAUGAAGGCCCUAGGGUCGUAAAGCACUUUCGCCAGAGAUGAUAAUGACAGUAUCUGGUAAAGAAACCCCGGCUAACUCCGUGCCAGCAGCCGCGGUAAUACGGAGGGGGUUAGCGUUGUUCGGAAUUACUGGGCGUAAAGCGCACGUAGGCGGAUUAGUAAGUUAGAGGUGAAAUCCCAGGGCUCAACCCUGGAACUGCCUUUAAUACUGCUAGUCUUGAGUUCGAGAGAGGUAAGUGGAAUUCCGAGUGUAGAGGUGAAAUUCGUAGAUAUUCGGAGGAACACCAGUGGCGAAGGCGGCUUACUGGCUCGAUACUGACGCUGAGGUGCGAAAGUGUGGGGAGCAAACAGGAUUAGAUACCCUGGUAGUCCACACCGUAAACGAUGAAUGCCAGACGUCAGCAAGUAUACUUGU
rnacentral:rRNA from 1 species